UACGUAGGAGGCGAGCGUUGUCCGGAGUUACUGGGCGUAAAGGGUGCGCAGGCGGCCGAUCGCGGUUUGCGGUGAAAGCUCCCGGCUUACCUGGGAGAGGGCCGUGAAGACGGGUUGGCUUGAGGCUCGGAGAGGGACGUGGAAUUCCGGGUGGAGCGGUGAAAUGCGUAGAGAUCCGGAAGAACACCGACGGCGAAGGCAGCGUCCUGGCCGAGGCCUGACGCUCAGGCACGAAAGCGCGGGGAGCGAACAGG
rnacentral:rRNA from 1 species